CGAACGCUGGCGGCGUGCUUAACACAUGCAAGUCGAACGCGAAAGGGACUUCGGUCCUGAGUAAAGUGGCGCACGGGUGAGUAACGCGUAGAUAACCUGUCUUCAUGUCUGGAAUAAUACGCCGAAAGGGGUACUAAUACCGGAUAUUCUUGCUCUUCAUAAGUUAUGCAAGCAAAGGUGGCCUCUGCAUAUGCUACUGCAUGAAGAGGGGUCUGCGUACCAUUAGCUAGUAGGUGGGGUAAUGGCCUACCUAGGCGACGAUGGUUAGCGGGUCUGAGAGGAUGAUCCGCCACACUGGCACUGGAACACGGGCCAGACUCCUACGGGAGGCAGCAGUGAGGAAUAUUGCGCAAUGGGGGAAACCCUGACGCAGCGACGCCGCGUGAGUGAGGAAGGCCUUCGGGUCGUAAAGCUCUGUCAAGAGGAAAGAAGUGUACAAUGGCUAAUACCUGUUGUAUUUGACGGUACCUCUAAAGGAAGCACCGGCUAACUCCGUGCCAGCCGCGGC
rnacentral:rRNA from 1 species